UACGUAGGGUGCGAGCGUUGUCCGGAAUUACUGGGCGUAAAGAGCUCGUAGGUGGUUUGUCGCGUUGUUCGUGAAAACCUGAGGCUUAACCUUGGGCGUGCGGGCGAUACGGGGCAGACUGGAGUACUGCAGGGGAGACUGGAAUUCCUGGUGUAGCGGUGGAAUGCGCAGAUAUCAGGAGGAACACCGGUGGCGAAGGCGGGUCUCUGGGCAGUAACUGACGCUGAGGAGCGAAAGCGUGGGGAGCGAACAGG
rnacentral:rRNA from 1 species